GAUGAACGCUGGCGGCGUGCCUAAUACAUGCAAGUCGAGCGAACAGAUGAGGAGCUUGCUCCUCUGACGUUAGCGGCGGACGGGUGAGUAACACGUGGAUAACCUACCUAUAAGACUGGGAUAACUUCGGGAAACCGGAGCUAAUACCGGAUAAUAUAUUGAACCGCAUGGUUCAAUAGUGAAAGACGGUUUUGCUGUCACUUAUAGAUGGAUCCGCGCCGGAUUAGCUAGUUGGUGAGGUAACGGCUUACCAAGGCAACGAUGCGUAGCCGACCUGAGAGGGUGAUCGGCCACACUGGAACUGAGACACGGUCCAGACUCCUACGGGAGGCAGCAGUAGGGAAUCUUGCGCAAUGGGCGAAAGCUUGACGGAGCAACGCCGCGUGUGUGAUGAAGGUCUUCGGAUCGUAAAGCUCUGUUAUUAGGGAAGAACAAAUGUGUAAGUAACUAUGCACGUAUUGACGGUACCUAAUCAGAAAGCCCCGGCUAACUACGUG
rnacentral:rRNA from 1 species